UACGGAGGGGGCUAGCGUUGUUCGGAAUUACUGGGCGUAAAGCGCGCGUAGGCGGCUUUGUAAGUCAGAGGUGAAAGCCUGGAGCUCAACUCCAGAACUGCCUUUGAGACUGCAUCGCUAGAAUCAUGGAGAGGUAAGUGGAAUUCCGAGUGUAGAGGUGAAAUUCGCAGAUAUUCGGAGGAAUACCAGUGGCGCAAGCGGUUAACUGGACGGGCAUUGACACUCAGAUACGAAAGCGUGGGUAGCAAACAGG
rnacentral:rRNA from 1 species